rnacentral:rRNA from 1 species
AAGCGGGGAAUAGCCCAGAGAAAUUUGGAUUAAUACCCCAUAAUAUAUUUGAUAAGGCAUCUUAUUAAUAUUAAAGCUUCGGCACUUGAUGAUGGGUGUGCGGCUGAUUAGAUAGUUGGCGGGGCAACGGCCCACCAAGUCUACGAUCAGUAGCUGAUGUGAGAGCAUGAUCAGCCACACGGGCACUGAGACACGGGCCCGACUCCUACGGGAGGCAGCAGUAAGGAAUAUUGGACAAUGGACGAAAGUCUGAUCCAGCCAUGCCGCGUGAAGGAUUAAGGUCCUCUGGAUUGUAAACUUCUUUUAUAUGGGACGAAAAAAGGGCAUUCUUGUUCACUUGACGGUACCAUAUGAAUAAGCACCGGCUAACUCCGUG